rnacentral:rRNA from 1 species
GGUCAAGUUAUUAAGGGUUUACGGUGGAUGCCUUGGGACCAAGAGCCGAAGAAGGGCGUGGUAAGACUACGAUAAGCCUCGAUCAGCUGUCUAACAAGCUUAGUCGAGGGUUCCCGAAUGGGGAAACCCGUUCUGGGUUAUACCAGAACAUUCCGCAAGGAAAGGUAAGUGUGUGAACUGAAACAUCUAAGUAACAUGAGGAAAAGAAAUUAAAGAGAUUCCCUUAGUAGUGGCGAACGAAAUGGGAAUAGCCCAAACCGGUAGGGCUUAGUGGGUUGAGGCCCUAUGUCCUUCCGGGGUUGUAACGCAUUCUAGUUUUCUCCUCAAAGAAAACAAGGAGUUACAAAAUCUUUUUUUAAUCGAACGUACCUGGAAAGGUCGAUCAUAGAAGGUGAUAAUCCUGUAGAUGAAAAGAAAAGAUCUCCUAGAGUGUUGUUGAGUACCACGGGACACGAGAAAUCUUGUGGGAAUCUGGGGAGACCACUCUCCAAGGCUAAAUACUCUUGGUCACCGAUAGUGAACCAGUACUGUGAAGGAAAGGUGAAAAGUACCCCGGGAGGGGAGUGAAAUAGACCUGAAACCGUAAACUUACAAGCCGUAGGAGACUCGAUGCGUCGAGUUGACUGCGUGCCUAUUGAAGAAUGAGCCGCCGAGUUAAUUUAUACAGCACGGUUAAGGAAUUGGAAUUCCGGAGCCCCAGCGAAAGCGAGUCCUAAUAGGGCGUUUAGUUGUAUGGAUUAGACCCGAAACCGAGUGAGCUACCCAUGGCCAGGUUGAAGCCCAGAUAGUCUCUGGGUGAAGGACCGAACCCGUGUAUGGUACAAAAUGCUGGGAUGAGCUGUGGGUAGGGGUAAAAUGCCAAUCGAACUCGGAGAUAGCUGGUUCUCCCCGAAAUGUAUUUAGGUACAGCGUUCAGGGAGUCUUGUGGAGGUAGGGCACUGGAUAGGUACGGGGGCGUGAGCCUACCAAACUUAACCAAACCACGAAUGCCGCAAGAUGCUCCUGGGCAGUGAGACAGUGGGGGAUAAGCUCCAUUGUCGAGAGGGAAACAGCCCAGAUCGUAGGCUAAGGUCCCUAAGUGUGUGUUAAGUGUGAAACGAAGUGAAAACGCUAAAACAGCUAGGAGGUUGGCUUAGAAGCAGCCACCCUUUAAAGAGUGCGUAAUAGCUCACUAGUCGAGGGUUUUUGCGCGGAAAAUGUAACGGGGCUAAAUACACCACCGAAGCCACGGGCCCGUAUUUAUACGGGCGGUAGGGGAGCGUUGCCAGGGCGUCGAAGCUGAGUUGUGAGACUUGGUGGAGCGCUGGGAAGUGAGAAUGCCGGCAUGAGUAGCGACAAUCCUGGUGAGAAUCCAGGACACCGAAAGCCUAAGGUUUCCUACGCAAUGCUGAUCAGCGUAGGGUAAGUCGGUCCUAAGCCGUAGCGUGUAGCGAAGGCGAUGGACAGCAGGUCAAAAUUCCUGCACCGCAGAUUAAGCGUUAUAAAGCAAAGGGGGGACACGGGAAGAUAGGCGGAGCGCACCCAUUGGACAUGGUGCGUCUGGUCUUGAAGGCCAUGCCAGGACAGGCAAAUCCGUUCUGGCGUUAUGAGCUGAGGGGACUGGAAACUCCAGGGCAUAUGCCCUAGGGAAUUCCGUUGAUUCUAUGCCGUCGAGAAAAGCCUCGUUGCAAGUUUUUUCAGCGUCCGUACCGCAAACCGACACAGGUAGGCAGGGGUAAGUAUCCCUAGGUGAACGAGAGAACCCUCGUUAAGGAAUUCGACAAGUUGACUCCGUAACUUCGGGAUAAGGAGUACCCAUGGGGUGAUAGUCAUUUACUGACUGGAUGCCCUUGUGGGUGGCACUAAACAGGCUCAGGCGACUGUUUAUCAAAAACACAGGUCUCUGCUAAAGCGAAAGCUGAUGUAUAGGGGCUGACACCUGCCCAGUGCCGGAAGGUUAAGGGGAUGGGUUCGUGGUUUACCACAAAGCUCAGAACCGAAGCCCCGGUGAACGGCGGCCGUAACUAUAACGGUCCUAAGGUAGCGAAAUCCCUUGUCGGGUAAGUUCCGACCCGCACGAAUGGU